GACGAACGCUGGCGGCGUGCUUAACACAUGCAAGUCGAACGGAAAGGCCCUUCGGGGUACUCGAGUGGCGAACGGGUGAGUAACACGUGGGUGAUCUGCCCUGCACUUUGGGAUAAGCCUGGGAAACUGGGUCUAAUACCGAAUAGGACCACGCGCUUCAUGGUGUGUGGUGGAAAGCUUUUGCGGUGUGGGAUGGGCCCGCGGCCUAUCAGCUUGUUGGUGGGGUAAUGGCCUACCAAGGCGACGACGGGUAGCCGGCCUGAGAGGGUGACCGGCCACACUGGGACUGAGAUACGGCCCAGACUCAUACGGGAGGCAGGAGUGGGGAAUAUUGCACAAUGGGCGCAAGCCUGAUGCAGCGACGCCGCGUGAGGGAUGACGGCCUUCGGGUUGUAAACAUCUUUCAAUAGGGACGAAGCGCAAGUGACGGUACCUAUAGAAGAAGCACCGGCCAACUACGU
rnacentral:rRNA from 1 species